UAAAGGGCCGCGGUAUUUUGACCGUGCAAAGGUAGCAUAAUCAUUAGUCUUCUAAUUAAAGGCUGGAAUGAAUGGUUGGACGAGGCACUAGCUGUCUCACUAAGAUAAGUUAGAAUUUAGCUUCUCAGUCAAAAGGCUGAGAUGUGGUUGGAGGACGAGAAGACCCUAUAGAUCUUUACACUUCACUCGUUUAGUUCGUUUGGGUGGGUUUAAACUUUAAGAGGAAAGUGUUUUGUUGGGGUGACGAGAAGAUAGGAUAAACUCUUUUUACGCAGUAACACUGAUGAGUGGUUGGUUGAUCCAUUAGUUAUGAUUAUAAGACUAAGUUACCUUAGGGAUAACAGCGUAAUCUUUUUUGAGAGUUCUAAUCGACAAGAAGGGUUGCGACCUCGAUGUUGGACUAAGGGUUAUUCUUGGGUGUAGCAGCUCAAGGUUUAGGUCUGUUCGACCUUUGAAUCCUUACAU
rnacentral:rRNA from 1 species